UGAGGAAUAUUGGUCAAUGGACGAGAGUCUGAACCAGCCAAGUAGCGUGCAGGAUGACGGCCCUAUGGGUUGUAAACUGCUUUUAUGUGGGGAUAAAGUGCGUGACGUGUCAUGCAUUGCAGGUACCACAUGAAUAAGGACCGGCUAAUUCCGUGCCAGCAGCCGCGGUAAUACGGAAGGUCCGGGCGUUAUCCGGAUUUAUUGGGUUUAAAGGGAGCGUAGGCUGUCUAUUAAGCGUGUUGUGAAAUAUACCGGCACAACCGGUGGCUUGCAGCGCGAACUGGUCGACUUGAGUAUGCAGGAAGUAGGCGGAAUUCAUGGUGUAGCGGUGAAAUGCUUAGAUAUCAUGACGAACUCCGAUUGCGCAGGCAGCUUACUGUAGCAUAACUGACGCUGAUGCUCGAAAGUGCGGGUAUCAAACAGG
rnacentral:rRNA from 1 species